rnacentral:rRNA from 1 species
GACGAGGAGCUUGCUCCUCUGACGUUAGCGGCGGACGGGUGAGUAACACGUGGAUAACCUACCUAUAAGACUGGGAUAACUUCGGGCCGGAGCUAAUACCGGAUAUAUUGAACCGCAUGGUUCAAUAGUGAAAGACGGUUUUGCUGUCACUUAUAGAUGGAUCCGCGCCGCAUUAGCUAGUUGGUAAGGUAACGGCUUACCAAGGCAACGAUGCGUAGCCGACCUGAGAGGGUCGGCCACACUGGAACUGAGACACGGUCCAGACUCCUACGGGAGGCAGCAGUAGGGAAUCUUCCGCAAUGGGCGAAAGCCUGACGGAGCAACGCCGCGUGAGUGAUGAAGGUCUUCGGAUCGUAAAACUCUGUUAUUAGGGAAGAACAAAUGUGUAAGUAACUAUGCACGUCUUGACGGUACCUAAUCAGAAAGCCACGGCUAACUACGUGCAGUCGAG